AUCAAUCUGCACAGAAAUUUUAAUUCAUUAAUUCUAUAAGCUAUAACAAUAAUUCUUACCAUAAUGCAAAAAUUCAUUCUAGAAGGUCUGGCCGGCCUAUAGGUUCCAAUUCUCCAAUAAUACUAUGUCAAUUAUUUAGUAUCUAGAAAGAUCAUUUUGAGUGUAAUUAUGCAGGCCUUGCAUACAAUUAGUGCCAUUUACAAAGGUUAGCAGCAACAUGACACUCACUCAACCAUAUGUCCUUAGCCUUCUGAAAGGUAUUAGCGGCUGACUUCCUCAAAUCUGAGUCCAAAACCUUUACUUUGGUCCUUCAUUUUUACUGUGGUUGUUGAAUUCUCCACCGUGAACCUAGGCCUUUGGGACACAACUGGUAUUAUUUAUUUGAUAGAUAUUAUCAUAUUCUUAGUUUCAAAUAUAAUUUUAUAUUACUUGUAAUUUCAAUUUUUUCCUACUUGUAAUGUCAAUUUGCUCUCUAUAUGUACCAGAGUACAAUUAAAGAUGUAGUUAGAUCUAUUUUAUGUAGUGUUUAUUGAGUUGUUGAGCAGGGUGUUCAAAUGUACCCUGCCUUUGUUGUGCUUAUGUGGAAUUAAUUUGAAAUUCUAAAAAUUCAAAUUGCAACCAGUUUUGUAUUAAGUUGUUGGAUUUACUCUUUACUUGUAUCCUAAAACAAGUUUGUAAUUAAACAAGUUUGCCAAAUUGGGCAAGUUUGGUAUUGUAA